GUACAGAGGUUGACAUCGCCCAACCCUUGUAGUGCGGACAGUGACUCUGGUUGUAUAUGAGGCCAGCUGGGAGGUGCUGGCCCCUUUAAGGGACCUCAGAGGCAACA